UGGGGGAUAUUGCACAAUGGGCGAAAGCCUGAUGCAGCAACGCCGCGUGAGGGAAGACGGUUUUCGGAUUGUAAACCUCUGUCUUCGGUGAAGAAAAAAAUGACGGUAGCCGAGGAGGAAGCCACGGCUAACUACGUGCCAGCAGCCGCGGUAAUACGUAGGUGGCGAGCGUUGUCCGGAAUUACUGGGCGUAAAGGGAGCGCAGGCGGGGAGACAAGUCAGCUGUGAAAACUAUGGGCUUAACCCAUAAACUGCAGUGGAAACUGUUUUUCUUGAGUGGAGUGGAGGUAGGCGGAAUUCCGAGUGUAGCGGUGAAAUGCGUAGAUAUUCGGAGGAACACCAGUGGCGAAGGCGGCCUACUGGGCUCUAACUGACGCUGAGGCUCGAAAGUGUGGGGAGCAAACA
rnacentral:rRNA from 1 species